AAACCAACAGGGAUUGCCUUAGUAGCGGCGAGUGAAGCGGCAAUAGCUCAAAUUUGAAAUCUGGCGCCUUCGGUGUCCGAGUUGUAAUUUGAAGAAGGUAUCUUUGGUUUUGGCUCUUGUCUAUGUUUCUUGGAACAGGACGUCAUAGAGGGUGAGAAUCCCGUCUGAUGAGAUGCCCAAUUCCAUGUAAAGUUCCUUCGACGAGUCGAGUUGUUUGGGAAUGCAGCUCUAAGUGGGUGGUAAAUUCCAUCUAAAGCUAAAUAUUGGCGAGAGACCGAUAGCGAACAAGUACUGUGAAGGAAAGAUGAAAAGAACUUUGAAAAGAGAGUGAAAAAGUACGUGAAAUUGUUGAAAGGGAAGGGUUUAAGGUCAGACUUGGUUUACCAGGCCAGCAUCGGUUUAGAUGGCAGGAUAAUGGCGUAGGAAUGUGGCUUUGCUUCGGUAAAGUGUUAUAGCCUGCGUUGAUACUGCCUAUUUAGACCGAGGACUGCGUCUUUGACAAGGAUGCUGGCAUAAUGGCCUUAAGCCAC
rnacentral:rRNA from 1 species